GGCUUCAUGGUCUAGUGGUAUGAUUCUCGCUUUGGGUUACCUGCUUAACACCUGGAUUGCGAGAGGCCCCGGGUUCGAAUCCCGGUGAAGCCC